GACGAACGCUGGCGGCGUGCUUAACACAUGCAAGUCGAACGGAAAGGCCCUGCUUUUGUGGGGUGCUCGAGUGGCGAACGGGUGAGUAACACGUGAGUAACCUGCCCUUGACUUUGGGAUAACUUCAGGAAACUGGGGCUAAUACCGGAUAGGAGCUCCUGCUGCAUGGUGGGGGUUGGAAAGUUUCGGCGGUUGGGGAUGGACUCGCGGCUUAUCAGCUUGUUGGUGGGGUAGUGGCUUACCAAGGGUUUGACGGGUAGCCGGCCUGAGAGGGUGACCGGCCACAUUGGGACUGAGAUACGGCCCAGACUCCUAUGGGAGGCAGAAGUGGGGAAUAUUGCACAAUGGGCGGAAGCCUGAUGCAGCAACGCCGCGUGCGGGAUGACGGCCUUCGGGUUGUAAACCGCUUUCGCCUGUGACGAAGCGUGAGUGACGGUAAUGGGUAAAGAAGCACCGGCUAACUACGUG
rnacentral:rRNA from 1 species